ensembl:snoRNA LOC120098691 small nucleolar RNA SNORA17
CCUGGCCCUUAGAAGCAUUGAAGGUGUGGCUUCUGUGUCACAUGUGAGUCAGUAGGUGACAGAGAGGAGAGAGGCUAUGUCUGUGCUCAGUGUUAUGACCUAUGAAUGUCUGAAUGAUUAGUACCAUGACAUC